rnacentral:lncRNA from 1 species
UCAACUAAAAGCUACCUUCACAAAAUCUCUCUCAAAUCCUCCAAGGAGACCCUCUCACAGACCUGCCAAUAUCAGGAUCUUCGAUGCUUCUGGAUGCUUCCUGUGGAGCGAACCACUACAUUGUGCCUCUCCACAUCUACUCUGCCCGAUGCUCUACUUGGCUCUCCAUACAUCUGCUAUACCUAUUGUACACACUCGACGCUCUGCC